UUUGAUGCGUGUGGAUAAAUGCAAAUCAAAGCCAAUUAUUUAUUUGUAACUGACUCUGGGAUGCCUGCUGCAGUCUUAUCUGUCGCUCUAGCUUGCAGCUUUCAGCAAUUGUCAGCUUAGAGACUUUGGUUUGAAACUCUCCUCCAGAGGUUUGCAGAGUGCCUGAGACUGGAAUUUGCAGACGCUAACAGUCAUUUCUCCUUUUUUUUUCAGGCCCUCCGAACCACCACAGCCAGUCGACUCUGAGGCCCCCUCUCCCACCCCCUCACAACCACACGCUGUCCCAUCACCACUCGUCCGCCAACUCCCUCAACAGGAACUCACUGACCAAUCGGCGGAGUCAGAUCCACGCCCCGGCCCCAGCGCCCAAUGACCUGGCCACCACACCAGAGUCUGUUCAGCUUCAGGACAGCUGGGUGCUAAACAGCAACGUGCCACUGGAGACCCGGCACUUCCUCUUCAAGACCUCCUCGGGGAGCACACCCUUGUUUAGCAGCUCUUCCCCGGGAUACCCUUUGACCUCAGGAACGGUUUACACGCCCCCGCCC
rnacentral:sRNA from 1 species